rnacentral:rRNA from 1 species
UACGUAGGGUGCAAGCGUUAAUCGGAAUUACUGGGCGUAAAGCGUGCGCAGGCGGUUGUGCAAGACAGGUGUGAAAUCCCCGGGCUUAACCUGGGAACUGCACUUGUGACUGCACAGCUGGAGUACGGCAGAGGGGGAUGGAAUUCCGCGUGUAGCAGUGAAAUGCGUAGAGAUGUGGAGGAAUACCGAUGGCGAAGGCAGCCCCCUGGGAUGAUACUGACGCUCAUGCACGAAAGCGUGGGGAGCAAACAGG